CCUACGGGGUGCAGCAGUGAGGAAUAUUCGUCAAUGGUAGAGAUCCUGAACCAGCCAAGCCGCGUGAGGGAAGACGGCCCUAUGGGUUGUAAACCUCUUUUGUCGGAGAACAAAACCCGGGACGUGUCCCGGACUGCGUGUAUCCGAAGAAACAGCCUCGGCAAACUCCGUUCCAGCAGCCGCAGUAAUCCGGAGGAUGCGAGCGUUAACCGGAUUUAUUGGGUUUAACGGGUCCGUAGGCGGUCCGUUAAGUCAGUGGUAAAAUUGCGGGGCUAAACCCCGUCGAGCCGUUGAAACUGGCAGACUUGAGUUGGCGAGAAGUACGCGGAAUGCGCGGUGUAGCGGUGAAAUGCAUAGAUAUCGCGAAGAACUCCGAUUGCGAAGGCAGCGUACCGGCGCCAGACUGACGCUGAGGCACGAAAGCGUGGGGAUCGAACAGGAUUAGAUACCCCAGUAGUC
rnacentral:rRNA from 1 species